ACUCUCUGCGUCGUCUCUCUUUCUCUCUCGCGCUCUCGCUCCCAAACCUUACCUCUUCAACCCGGUUUUCCUCCUUCCAGUUCGUAUGUCUCUUCAAUCUUCGCCAAUUUCUUCCUCCAUUGUUCUGAGAUCACCAAUCGCUAAGAUCCCCGUCCGAAAUCCUAACCGUAGCUACUCGAAUUCGUCGUCUAAGAGCCUAGCGACGGCGACGUCGCUGGUUGGUUCAGCCGGUGCAAUCCUUCAUUGACACUUCUCUCUCUGGUCUGCUUCGUCGAACUUCAUGUCGCGCCGGCUUUCUACAAAUGGCGAUGGCAAACCCUUUCCAUUUGUGAGGUGACGACUCUGAGGACCCCACAGCAAAUCGCAGCGGCGGCAGCGGCGUCUCCACUCAAGAAGGGUUUAGCUGCGGCGGCUCAGCAGCUGCAGCAAGCUCAGUUGGCUUCUAAGCCUGUUCCUCCUGCAUAGGCUGGUUAGGGUUUAGAGAGAUGAGUACCGAUUUUUGGAAGAGAUUUGUGGGAGUGACUGAAAGAUAUUUAGCUUUACAAGUUCGAUUUCUCUCUUCCUUCUGAUUCUCCGACUGAUGAUGUCGGUGGUGAAGAUCUUCGAUUAGAUAUCGGAAAUGGAAAAGAAAAAGCAAGAGGAUAAAGUGAAGAGGGUGCAACAACAGGAGGAACAUUUUAAGCGUGUUACGAU